rnacentral:lncRNA from 1 species
AUGGAAAAGAUGUGCAAAAAAGCAAAAUGGCUGUCUGGGGAGGCCUUACAAAUAGCUGUGAAAAGAAUAGAAGUGAAAAGCAAAGGAGAAAAGGAAAGAUAUAAACAUCUGAAUGCAGAGUUCCAAAGAAUAGCAAGAAGAGAUAAGAAAGCCUUCUUCAGUGAUCAAUGCAAAGAAAUAGAGGAAAACAACAGAAUGGGAAAGACUAGAGAUUUCUUCAAGAAAAUCAGAGAUACCAAAGGAACAUUUCAUGCAAAGAUGGGCUCAAUAAAGGACAGAAAUGGUAUGGACCUAACAGAAGCAGAAAAUAUUAAGACUAGAUGGCAAGAAUACACAGAAGAACUGUACAAAAAAGAUCUUCAUGACCCAGAUAAUCACGAUGGUGUGAUCACUGACCUAGAGCCAGACAUCCUGGAAUGUGAAGUCAAGUGGGCCUUAGAAAGCAUCACUAUGAACAAAGCUAGUGGAGGUGAUGGAAUUCCAGUUGAGCUAUUCCAAAUCCUGAAAGAUGAUGCUGUGAAAGUGCUGCACUCAAUAUGCCAGCAAAUUUGGAAUACUCAGCAGUGGCCACAGGACUGGAAAAGGUCAGUUUUCAUUCCAAUCCCAAAGAAAGGCAAUGCCAAAGAAUGCUCAAACUACUGCACAAUUGCACCCAUCUCACAUGCUAGUAAAGUAAUUCUCAAAAUUCUCCAAGCCAGGCUUCAGCAAUAUGUGAACCGUGAACUUCCUGAUGUUCAAGCUGGUUUUAGAAAAGGCAGAGGAACCAGAGAUCAAAUUGCCAACAUCUGCUGGAUCAUGGAAAAAGCAAGAGAGUUCCAGAAAAACAUCUAUUUCUACUUUAUUGACUAUGUCAAAGCCUUUGACUGUGUGGAUCACAAUAAACUGUGGAAAAUUCUGAAAGAGAUGGGAAUACCAGACCACCUGAUCUGCCUCUUGAGAAAUUUGUAUGCAGUUCAGGAAGCAACAGUUAGAACUGGACAGGGAACAACAGACUGGUUCUAA